AAUCCAUAGGUUAAUGAGGCGAACCGGGGGAACUGAAACAUCUAAGUACCCCGAGGAAAAGAAAUCAACCGAGAUUCCCCCAGUAGCGGCGAGCGAACGGGGAGGAGCCCAGAGCCUGAAUCAGCAUGUGUGUUAGUGGAAGCGUCUGGAAAGGCGCGCGAUACAGGGUGACAGCCCCGUACACAAAAGCGCAUGUGCUGUGAGCUCGAUGAGUAGGGCGGGACACGUGGUAUCCUGUCUGAAUAUGGGGGGACCAUCCUCCAAGGCUAAAUACUCCUGACUGACCGAUAGUGAACCAGUACCGUGAGGGAAAGGCGAAAAGAACCCCGGCGAGGGGAGUGAAAAAGAACCUGAAACCGUGUACGUACAAGCAGUGGGAGCCCCACCACCAAAGCAUUUGCUGUACCGCGUUGACGGAGCGAAGCGACGUCAAACCGAUAAAACAGCAGUGUAAAGUGAGCCGCAGGGC
rnacentral:rRNA from 2 species